GACAAUAAUUAAUGGAAAAUUUUCAAUUGAAAAAGCAUGACUUUAAUGAAUACUAAAUAUGGAAGAGUGGAAAAACUUUUCUUUUAUGUUUUUGUUUUGUUUCAUUUUUUUUUUCAAAAUUUCAAGCUUUGAUUUUAGUUAUAGAUUUGAUUAUUUUAUUGAUGGUAGAAGCAUUUUUAUUUUUUUGUUCAUUUAUUUGAACAUGUAAUAUAUUUUUAAUAAAUGACGGUGUUCACAAUAUGACUUUAAAAUUCAUAUAAUAUGAUUUCAAACAAAAUAAUUAUAUUUUUUGGUAUAAAACCGAAUAAACCGAAAACCGACGGUAUAUAAACCGAACC
rnacentral:lncRNA from 1 species